GCACUAGUAGCUCAGAGUAAGAGCGCCGGUCUUGUAAGCCGGAUGUCGAGGGUUAAAGUCCCUCCCUACUGCU
rnacentral:tRNA from 1 species